rnacentral:rRNA from 1 species
GACGAACGCUGGCGGCGCGCCUAACACAUGCAAGUCGAACGAGCGAGAGAGAGCUUGCUUUCUCGAGCGAGUGGCGAACGGGUGAGUAACGCGUGAGGAACCUGCCUCAAAGAGGGGGACAACAGUUGGAAACGACUGCUAAUACCGCAUAAGCCCACGGGUCGGCAUCGACCAGGGGGAAAAGGAGUGAUCCGCUUUGAGAUGGCCUCGCGUCCGAUUAGCUAGUUGGCGGGGUAACGGCUCACCAAGGCAACGAUCCCUAGCUGGUCUGAGAGGAUGACCAGCCACACUGGAACUGAGACACGGUCCAGACUCCUACGGGAGGCAGCAGUGGGGAAUAUUGCACAAUGGGCGCAAGCCUGAUGCAGCCAUGCCGCGUGUAUGAAGAAGGCCUC